rnacentral:rRNA from 1 species
UCGCACCUACCGAUUGAAUGGUCCGGUAAAAACUAGGGACUUCUUAAUGUAACGUAAGAGGGAAUUAUUUUACACCUUAUCCUUUAGAGGAAGGUGAAGUCGUAACAAGGUU